GGGAAAUAUUCAUCCUGUAUAAAAUUGCGCACAUGUGGUAUCCCACGUUAGGAUUUAUACUCACUUCAGUCGUUAUAUUUAUUUCUGUUUUAGCUACAGGAUGGAAGAAGAAUGUGAUUCCAGCUGAUUCAAAGUGUUUAAGUCCUAUUCUAUGGAAGAAAUCGAAGCCACAAAAUGCCUGAAAUAAAAGAAGGGAAUUGAAUUGAAGGGAAAUGAACAUCACGUCACAUUUUCUCGAACUAAUUAGGUUACAUCAUGCCGUAGAGGAUGAUAUACAAAUCAAACUUUUAUUAAACCUUUGUGUAUUAUUGUGUAACAAGAUACAUAAUUACAUAUCGAAGCAUUUUGAAGAAGAGAAAAGACCCCUGAAAUCGUAACAUUUAACAAAGUUAUUCUACAGUAUCAAUACAUUAUGUUGAACUAUAUCGUUCAACCACUAUAAACAGAGACACUGAGCCAAGAUUCUGUUAUAUUGAACUAUAUUUUCCUUUAAACGAGCAAGGAGAGAUAGAAAUCUCCCAUAUAUCAACGAUGUCUCAAAAAUGUUGAUGUUACUCAGUGUUAUGAUUUAACAAAAGAAAAAAUUUUUUAAACAUUGAUUAAUAAAUUACUUUUAUAUCGAAAAGCACUUCAACACACUUUAAAAUUGCAAUUUUGGAAUAAAAUAAAAUAUAUUUGAUUUUUU